UGAUACGAUUACUAUUGUGCCGCGCCGA
rnacentral:sRNA from 1 species